rnacentral:rRNA from 1 species
GACGAACGCUGGCGGCGUGCCUAAUACAUGCAAGUCGAACGCAUUUUCUUUCACCGUAGCUUGCUACACCGAAAGAAAAUGAGUGGCGAACGGGUGAGUAACACGUGGGUAACCUGCCCAUCAGCGGGGGAUAACACUUGGAAACAGGUGCUAAUACCGCAUAAUUCCAUUUACCGCAUGGUAGAUGGAUGAAAGGCGCUUUUGCGUCACUGAUGGAUGGACCCGCGGUGCAUUAGCUAGUUGGUGGGGUAACGGCCCACCAAGGCAACGAUCGGUAGCCGGACUGAGAGGUUGAACGGCCACAUUGGGACUGAGACACGGCCCAG